rnacentral:rRNA from 1 species
CGGACAGUGCCUGGUGGGUAGUUUGACUGGGGCGGUCUCCUCCCAAAGAGUAACGGAGGAGCACGAAGGUGGGCUAAUCACGGUUGGACAUCGUGAGGGUAGUGCAAUGGCAUAAGCCCGCUUGACUGCGAGAAUGACAAUUCGAGCAGGUGCGAAAGCAGGUCAUAGUGAUCCGGUGGUUCUGAAUGGAAGGGCCAUCGCUCAACGGAUAAAAGGUACUCCGGGG